GACAUUGCCAUCAAGAUAUUGGAUUAUUUUGGGAUAUUGGAUUUUGUCCAAAAAAUGAUGUCAUAUUUUUCGCUGUCUAGAGACAGUAGGUGGCGGUAGAUCAUGAUAGUGUGAACUGUAGCACGUCCUGGUUCGUGAAAUUGAUGGAACGUUCUGAUUGGCUCGCGCAAAACACUCGGAAUUCGAAUUUGGCAAACCAAACGGAAUCGUAAAAAAAGCAAGUGAGGAACUUUUAAGUGACCAUUGCCAGGCAGAGUGAUGCCACCGACAGGGAGGGGAAUGGACAACAAAGGCCCCCCAAAAAUGGCACAAGAGGUUGAACAAACAUCUGCAUAUUGUGACAGUUCUCCAGCAAAAAAUAAAAAAACACACAGUAGUAAAACACCAGCUUCAAUCUCUUCAGAUUUGUUUGAGGGUGCACUUGCAGGUGCAAAUAGAGAGGUCAACAUGCUAUUUUCCAAAUACUCUGAAGUGUUGAGUGAGAGGGCUGCAAUAGAUGCUUCACAAGUUAGGGAGUUGGAAGACAUAUUGAUGGAGGCCAGAAACUUGGAGUCACACCUGAAAGAGAAGAAAGAUCACUUGAGGCGUACCUUGGCUCUUAUUUCUGACAAACUGCAGGGAUAGACUUGCUACAUGGGCCACAGACAUUUGUAAAUAUUUCUUCACUGAUCUCAAUAAGUAACAUGUCAGUACUUUUAUUUUGACCUCUGUAUGCUUUUUAGGUUUACUGUCAUCACUCUUUAUCCCACACUGGCAAACACAAUGUGAGUGUCAUUGUGGUUCAUUUCUUUAUAAAUGACCUAUUUAUAUUGAAGCAUUGGGAAUACUGUAGAUCUAGGCCUAUGUAGCCUACUGUAAACAAUAAAUAGGU